rnacentral:misc_RNA from 1 species
GAUGAAGAACGUAGCGAAAUGCGAUACUUGGUGUGAAUUGCAGAAUCCCGUGAACCAUCGAGUCUUUGAACGCAAGUUGCGCCCGAAGCCAUUAGGCCGAGGGCACGCCUGCUUAGGCGUCACACGUCGUUGCCCCCCCAUCUACUCCUUCGGGAUUGCGGGGGGCGGAUGAUGGCUUCCCGUGCGCCUCGUCGCGCGGUUGGCAUAAAUGCCAAGUCCUCGGCGACGCACGCCACGACAAUCGGUGGUUGCGAAACCUCGGUUGCCCGUCGUGUGCGGUCGUCGCGCAUCGAGGGCUCGAAAAAAUUGCCGGGCUCCGGCUCGGCUUUCAACGCGACCCCAGGUCAGGCGGGGUUACCCGCUGAAUUUAAGCAUAUCAAUAAGCGGAGGA